rnacentral:tRNA from 1 species
GGGGUUGUGGCUCAGAGGUAGAUCACUUGCCUGCCAUGCAUGAGGUCCUGGGUUCAAUCCUCAGCACCA